UACGGAGGGGGCGAGCGUUGUUCGGAAUCAUUGGGCGUAAAGGGCGCGUAGGUGGUUCUGUAUGUCUACCGUGAAAGCCCACGGCUCAACCGUGGAGGGUCAUUGGAAACUGGGGGACUUGAGUGCAGAAGAGGAAAGUGGAAUUCCACGUGUAGCGGUGAAAUGCGUAGAGAUGUGGAGGAACACCAGUGGCGAAGGCGACUUUCUGGUCUGUAACUGACGCUGAGGCGCGAAAGCGUGGGGAGCAAACAGG
rnacentral:rRNA from 1 species